CCUACGGGAGGCAGCAGUGGGGGAUAUUGCACAAUGGGGGAAACCCUGAUGCAGCGACGCCGCGUGUGGGAAGACGGUCCUCUGGAUUGUAAACCACUGUCCCCAGGGACGAAGAUGACGGUACCUGGGGAGGAAGCUCCGGCUAACUACGUGCCAGCAGCCGCGGGAAUACGUAGGGAGCGAGCGUUGUCCGGAAUUACUGGGUGUAAAGGGAGCGUAGGCGGGACUGCAAGUUGGGUGUCAAGUCUACCGGCUCAACCGGUAGCCGCACUCAAAACUGCAGUUCUUGAGUGAAGUAGAGGCAGGCGGAAUUCCUGGUGUAGCGGUGAAAUGCGUAGAUAUUAGGAGGAACACCAGUGGCGAAGGCGGCCUGCUGGGCUUUUACUGACGCUGAGGCUCGAAAGUGUGGGGAGCAAACAGGAUUAGAUACCCUGGUAGUC
rnacentral:rRNA from 1 species